rnacentral:rRNA from 1 species
GUCAGCAGCCGCGGUAACACCGGCGGCCCGAGUGGUGAUCGUGAUUAUUGGGUCUAAAGGGUCCGUAGCCGGUUUGGUCAGUCCUCCGGGAAAUCUGAUAGCUCAACUAUUAGGCGUUUCGGGGGAUACUGCCAGACUUGGAACCGGGAGAGGUAAGAGGUACUACAGGGGUAGGAGUGAAAUCUUGUAAUCCCUGUGGGACCACCUGUGGCGAAGGCGUCUUACCAGAACGGGUUCGACGGUGAGGGACGAAAGCUGGGGGCACGAACCGGAUUAGAUACCCGGGUAGUCCCAGCCGUAAACGAUGCUCGCUAGGUGUCAGGCAUGGCGCGACCGUGUCUGGUGCCGCAGGGAAGCCGUGAAGCGAGCCACCUGGGAAGUACGGCCGCAAGGCUGAAACUUAAAGGAAUUGGCGGGGGAGCACAACAACGGGUGGAGCCUGCGGUUUAAUUGGACUCAACGCCGGACAACUCACCGGGGCGACAGCAAUAUGUAGGCCAAGCUGAAGACUUUGCCUGAAUCGCUGAGAGGAGUGGUGCAUGG